GGCCAGGACGCCCCGGGCUCCUCCAGCACCGAAGGGAGAAGAGGCGACGCUUUUGAAGCCCUUUCUGACCUGGCGAGGACGCGUGGUUCUAAGGCAGAAUUUUUACUUUUACUCUGAUCACGACUCGCGUGGAUCUGCUCCUGAACGAGGAUCCAGGCUGCGGUGUGGGCGACAGAUUGGGGCGCAGGAGCCCGGACGGGGCCGAGGAGACUUGGCACAGAAGCAGCUUUAUCUGACAUCUCGUAUAAGACUGGCUACCACUGAGGCCGGGCCCUCGCUGCUAUCAGCAACAUCCUCAGGAGCCUCAGAUCGGCCGAGGCAGGAGCCGGCCCGACCAUCGGCACCGCCGCGGUGGAGUUCCGGCUGCACGUUGUUCGAUAAUGAGGCUCUUCGCUCACGGUUAGCUUGUAAAGUUCC